CGCGUAGGCGGCGGGGCAAGUCGGGUGUGAAAUCUCAGAGCUCAACUCUGAAACUGCACUCGAUACUGCUUUGCUUGAGGACUGGAGAGGAGAUUGGAAUUCACGGUGUAGCAGUGAAAUGCGUAGAUAUCGUGAGGAAGACCAGUGGCGAAGGCGGAUCUCUGGACAGUUCCUGACGCUGAGGCGCGAAGGCCAAGGGAGCAAACG
rnacentral:rRNA from 1 species